rnacentral:rRNA from 1 species
AUUGAACGCUGGCGGUAUGCUUAACACAUGCAAGUCGAACGGUAACAGGCCUUCGGGCGCUGACGAGUGGCGGACGGGUGCGUAACGCGUAGGAAUCUGCCGAUUAGUGGGGGACAACUUGGGGAAACUCAAGCUAAUACCGCAUACGCCCUACGGGGGAAAGCGGGGGACCUUCGGGCCUCGCGCUAAUCGAUGAGCCUGCGUGGGAUUAGCUAGUUGGUAGGGUAAAGGCCUACCAAGGCGACGAUCCCUAGCUGGUCUGAGAGGACGAUCAGCCACACUGGGACUGGGACACGGCCCAGACUCCUACGGGAGGCAGCAGUGGGGAAUUGUUCGCAAUGGGCGCAAGCCUGACGACGCAACGCCGCGUGGAGGAUGAAGAUUUUCGGAUCGUAAACUCCUGUCGAAUGGGACGAACGGCCCGGCCGUGAACAACGGCCGGGAGUGACGGUACCGUGAGAGGAAGCCCCGGCUAACUCCGUGCCAGCCGCCGCAGUAACAC